GUUGACCUCGGAUCAGGUAGGGAUACCCGCUGAACUUAAGCAUAUCAAUAAGCGGAGGAAAAGAAACCAA
rnacentral:rRNA from 1 species